GGGAAGCCCAAUCCGUUACUCCUCUACUCCUUCUCGAGUUUCGACUGAGCCUUCCCUUCCAGUUUUCCUUCGAAACAAAAUCGAAAGCUCUGUCUUCUCCGACCGCGAACACCAAACUGGUCCAGGAGAAUGAGCUCUAAGAGGGAACAUGAAGGUAAUGUUAAUGUGAACGUGGAAGGGUUUGAAUCGGACCCAAAAAGGCAAAAACUAAAUGAGCAUUCAUUGCCGCCACCUGCCUCUGAAGGCACUCUACUUCCGGGUUUUAAUUAUGGCGAUGUGGACGACGAGGACAACCACAGAAGGCCACCUGUGAAUGGCUCUAAUGGGGACGGUGGCGAUAAUCAAAAGGGUGUACAAAAUGGGGGUCAAGUCGAAGAAGUAGAGGAUGAUGAUGAUGAUGAUGAUGACCUUGAACAAGGACUUUACCAAAGGCGGGGACGUGAAAUCGAGGUCAGGAGGGAUUGCCCGUAUCUUGAUGCCGUGAAUCGCCAGGUUUUAGAUUUUGAUUUUGAGAAGUUCUGCUCUCUGUCCCUGUCAAAUUUGAAUGUGUAUGCAUGUUUGGUUUGUGGGAAGUAUUAUCAAGGCAGAGGGAAGAAGUCCCAUGCAUAUACUCAUAGCCUUGAAGCCGGACACCAUGUUUAUAUCAAUCUUCGAACGGAGAAAGUUUAUUGCCUUCCCGAUGGAUAUGAAAUAAGUGACCCAUCAUUGGAUGAUAUUCGGCAUGUCCUAAACCCAAGGUUUACUGAGGAACAAGUGGAGCAGAUUGACAAAAACAAGCAAUGGUCCAGGGCACUUGAUGGUUCCGAUUACCUUCCUGGAAUGGUGGGGCUCAAUAACAUUAAGGAGACUGAUUUCGUGAAUGUCACCAUACAAUCUUUAAUGAGAGUCACUCCUCUAAGAAAUUUUUUCCUUAUCCCUAAGAAUUAUCAACACUGCAAGUCUCCGCUUGUUCAUCGAUUUGGGGAGCUAACGAGAAAGAUAUGGCAUGCACGAAACUUCAAGGGACAGGUCAGCCCGCACGAGUUCCUACAGGCAGUUAUGAAAGCCAGUAAGAAAAGGUUUCGAAUUGGAGCACAGUCUGACCCAGUUGAAUUCAUGUCAUGGCUGCUUAAUAAGCUGCAUGGAGAUCUUAGAACUUCAAAGAAAAAUAGCAGCAUCAUAUUUGAGUGCUUUCAGGGGGAACUGGAGGUUGUGAAGGAGAUUCCUAAUAAAGGUAUUGAGAGAAUAGAAAAUGGUGAUGACCAGAAUACAGGUGCUGCUACUGAAAAUAAUGGUAUUGUUAAGGAAACUUACAAAAUGCCUUUCUUGAUGCUUGGAUUGGAUUUGCCCCCACCACCGCUUUUCAAAGAUGUGAUGGAGAAAAAUAUAAUACCCCAGGUCCCACUUUUCAACAUUCUGAAGAAAUUUGAUGGAGAGACUGUCACUGAAGUGGUCCGACCUCGCAUAUCAAGGAUGAGGUAUCGAGUCACCCGACUACCUCAGUAUCUUAUUCUCCACAUGCAACGUUUUACAAAGAACAAUUUCUUUGUGGAGAAGAAUCCAACUUUAGUGAACUUUCCUGUGAAGAAUCUCGAAUUGAAAGACUACAUCCCAUUGUCAACCACCAAUGAGAGUGAGAGGUUGCGCUCAAAGUAUGAUCUCAUUGCCAACAUUGUACAUGACGGUAAACCUGGUGAGGGUUCCUACAGGGUGUUUGUACAAAGGAAGUCCGAAGAACAAUGGUAUGAGAUGCAGGACCUUCACGUCUCCGAAACCCUUCCCCAAAUGGUUGCACUGUCCGAGACAUAUAUGCAGAUAUACGAGCAGCACCAGUAACAUGAGACGAUUGGAGGACUGAGGUGGCAGAUCGAAUUUGCAUGAAAUUCGGAAACAUUCGGAAUGAAUUUUACCAGAAUUUUGUGGACGUUUGAGAAUAUUUGCUGCUAAUAGUGGGGAGUAGGUUUUGAAAAUUGCUGCUGGGUGUUGAUGUUGUCACAAGUUUUAACUUGGACACGCCAGGUUUGACCCUUACUUGAAACGCCACUUGAAAUGGCCGCAGUAAACACGAUAUAUUAUGCAAAUAGCUGUUGAAUUAGCGUUGCUCCACAUUGUAAACACGAUGUAUUAUGCAAAUAGAUGUUGAAUGAAUAACGAUUUAAAUAGAA